AGGUCCUGUAUCCCUGGUCUCGUCUCGUCCAUCCCUUCCCCUGAAGCGCGCCCAGCGUGCGCACCUUUGGGGGGGGGGAUUCUGUCAUGCCCAGCUCGAGCCAGGGGAACAACAGGCGACAGCCAAACUGGAACUGGGGGAAUGCGACUGCCAGGCAGAAGCAAGGGGGCGCAUCGAGGCCUUCUGACGCCGGCUUGGGAGAGAUGGGGGCUGGUGACCCGGUUCGACUCCAAUGCAAACUAUGAGCACGAGCAAGGAAAGAAGAGCCAGACCAAUCAAAAUUCUGAUUCCUGAGGAGGAUCCAUGGGAACAAGAAUCAGCAAUGAUCUAAUGUAAAUUUCAUGCUCUGUUUAUUAGU